AGAAAACAUAUUUUCUCAAGGAAAUCCUCUGAUGCCCUGCUGGCACUUCCCAUUGGCUGGAUCGAACUGGAACCCCAAGAUCAAGGAAUCCUCUGUGAUGGCAUCCAUGGGGGUCCGCUUCGUGGGGGAGCACCAAGCAGGGUGGAAAACCCUGAGGAACCAACCCUGCUCCCCACUCCAGCUUUCUCACCCUUCACCUCCAGCCCCAGGACAAGAUGAGCAGGAGGAGGGGCAGCUGCCCAACACUCACUGAGGAGUCAGCCUCUGGACCUCAGAGCCAGCAACACCCCCUGCACUCACACCUGCACCUCAUCCUGCUGCCUUCUCCUGAGGAGGGGAAACUGAGGCCCAGAGAGGGAGGGCAUGAGCUCUAAUUCGAGUCCUCUGGGACGACAGCAGCACCUCAUCACAUGCACACCGAGAACCAACACACAUUUUUCUGGACCGCAGGAUAUUUUAAAAGGUUUUCUUUUUUAAUACAGAAAAGCAUAAAGACGAAAAUGGUCUGUAAUGCUGCCACACAGA